UCUUUUUAAAGGCAGUGCUUUAAGGCCUGACUUUUAAGUCAUGAGGUUCAUCUUUUCAUACGCAAUCCAUGCUGGGGGUCUUUUGGCCAGAAAUAGAUCCGGAAAUGUUCGAAUUUCUCCUCUUCUUUUUAUGGUAUGAUAUGGUUUUUGUUUCUUUCAUUUACAUUGGGGACUAAAGAAACGAUCAGUGUGUAUUGUUCGUUUUAUAGAACUUGUUAUAAGUGUGUAUUUUGCAUUAUAAGCAGUCAACCUGACUACAAACUAUCAAUAGUUGUAUAUUCCGUGUGGAAAGAGGUCGGGUCAAUUUCAAGUGUUAUCUGACAUCUAAAGAUUCUUUAAUUAGUUCAGACGUUGAUAUAACAAUGAAAAGUCGACUGAACAUGAUUAAUAUUGCAUCUUCUAUAAUUCAAAGCGGAAUUCGGUUUAUGAACGAGAAACCGUAAAGCGUUUUCAAUUUCGGUAUUAGUUAUGUAUGUUAUCUACGUAUUAUCCUGGUUCCCGGUACUACGUUCCGGGUAUUAGCUAUUUGAUAUAUUUGAUGUGUAACAUUACAAUCGGGUACCAGCCAAUCUACGUGUGUAUGUGUACAUGAUUUACCGCCAAAAUGACCGACUUAAAAAAUAGUCCAUAAACGUUCCGUAUAAUGAUAUGCAAAUUCAUAAUUAAUCGUAACUUUUUUUUAUCUUUGUAUAAUUAAUAUAACAAAAUGGAUUCCACAAAAUUGAAAAUAGCAUUAUUUUACGAGGAUUUCUCAUAUUUUUUUCACUUCCGGCGCAGUAAUACGUAUGUUUUGAAGAAGCUCGAAGAAUUUGACAAAGUGAAUUGAGAAGGAAACGGAUAGAUAUACGUUCUUGCUAUCAGGUAAAACAAUUUAAAUGUACAGAACAAACACAUUUACUUCACACAAAUAGUACAGGCUUAAGCUUUUUAUUGUCUAGCUUAUACACGACUGUAGUCAAGUGUUUAAACGACGGCGGUGACCUACAAGGUACGGGUCAUACUGGGUCAAGUCUAAAUAUGUAAACACAUAUCCACGUGCUAUUAGGAAGAACGCAUCGUAAUGCAAUAUCUACAAUUUUUCCUCCUUUAUACAUCGUUUAACCAGAUAUAUUUCUCCUUUUUACAUCGUUUAACCAGAUUUAUUUCUCUUUCAAAUACACUUAAACACGGGUUGUAUGUACGUAUCUUUUCUAGUGUUUUCUUGUUGUUAUUAAAGUUCAUUUGUUGAUGUUUAGAAAUUUUUGAACGACUGAACACAGGAGUGAAUGAAUGCAACAAUUAUAUAUACUGAAGACUUGGGCUGUACAAUGAUAGUGGCACAAACCCACUUUAAAGAGACUUGUCUACUGCCAUACCCAUCCUAUUUUCAUGCACCAUUUGCAAGCAAGAGACUGAAUGGUUUGCAAAAUUAAAAAUCAGGACGGUGUCCAAUUAAAACAAAAGAACUAAACUGGAUGAAUAUUUUAGGAGAUAUCUAGACAUGCUAGAGGAAAGUUUUGAUUUGUGAAAUUGGUUUUCCUGAAAAGUCAUUCAUCCUAGCCUGCAGAAAGGAACUAUAACUGUCCACCACCAACUGACGAGCUAAUGUUGAGCUUCACAUAUGGAAUUACUCAAAUACCAUCAAUGUCUAUGUUUUCAGCACAAAUUUCACAAUUUAUGACACAGCUGUGCUUUUUUUUAUACCGUUAAAGAGUUGUAUACCAAAUUUUAUUUUUUUAUCAAUAAAUAUAUAUUAUAUUAA